rnacentral:rRNA from 1 species
UGGCAAGUCGACCAAUGGCGAAAGCAGUCAUCAAGGGCACACCCGUUGAUAAAGAGCGAAAGUUAAGGGUUCGAAGACGAUCAGAUACCGUCGUAGUCUUAACUAUAAAUGCUUCAAACCAGGGAUAGGAUGCUGUCCAUCUCGACUCCUCCCAGGCCUCUGAGAAAUUGAAAGCCUUUGGGGCUUGGGGGGAGUAUGGUCGCAAGGCUGAAACUUAAAGGAAUUGACGGAAGGGUGCACAAAGAGUGGAAUCUGCGGCUUAAUUUGACUCAACACGGGAAAACUCACUAGGUCCGGAUACAAGCAUGAAGGUCAAGCCGAAAGACUUUACCUAAUGAUGUAAGUGGUGGUGCAUGGCCGUUCGUAGUUCGUGGAUUGAUUUGUCUGGUCUAUUCCGAUAACGAGCGAGACCCCAGCGUUCCUAAUAGGGGCGGCAGCCCAGCUGGCCGCAAGGCCAGCUAGCUGCUUCCUCCUGUUAGCUUCUUGGACGGAUCAGGGCCGAUAAGGUUCUUGAAAUGGGUUAAUAACAGGUCAGUCAUGCCCUUAGAUGUUCUGGGCUGCACGCGCGUUACAGUGACAUGUAUAGCAAGUGCUAGUGCAGUGUUCCCGUGGUCGAGAGGUCGUGGUAAUCCAUAAUCCCUGUCAAGACAGGGAUAGACCUUUGUAACUAUUGGUCUCUAACGAGGAAUUUUUAGUAAUCGCCAGUCACUAACUGACGAUGAAUGCGUCCCCACCCUUUGUACACACCGCC